UACAGAGUCUAGUACACGACCUCACAUCCCGAUUCACAGAAGCCACGGGCAGCCAAUCUCUCGUUCUCCCACUGCUAACCCUACCCGCCGCCUGCUGCUUCCCUCGAUGCGUGCCGUGCGCCCCUGAACGAAAACCGGCGCCCGAGCGGCGGCCCUAGCCGGUGAAGAACGGCGCCCCAGCGGCGGCCCUGGCAGGUGAAGACGGGCGCUGCAAGCGGUGGCCCUGACGGUGAAGACUGUCGCCCCGCGCCGCCGCCAACCUCAACCUCCCGUCGGUCGCUCUACCGCCUCGCAGCCGUCCGCCGCCGGUGCUCCACCUCCCGACGACCAGUUCAACCACUGCAGUUCGUCACGACUCACCACUACCCGUCCUCUUCCAGGUCACUCGCAGCUGAAGAUGUUUUCUGAACAUGAUGAGGAUCUGAAUGAGAAUGAAGAUGCACUUAUGAGUGUAGAGGCAGAGGCAGAUGCAGAAGCAGCAGCUGCAGAAGCAGGAGAUGAAUCUGUUUUGCAUAGUAUUAUUGAAGAUGAAGAUGCCGAACCAACAGUGGGUUUGCUGCUUGUGUAUUCCAUGGACUGAUGUUGCUUAUUAUCUUGUUUCUUUCUUUGCAUUGAAAUCUUAUUGCUGGACCAUGAAUCAUGAAUCUUCUUAAUUUGUGUCAUAUGAAUAUUGUUACUAGCUCUCAAAUGUAAACAUGUACUUGUACUUUGUUACUUGAUGUUGCAUAUAAACAUGUAUUGUUA